ensembl:lncRNA
CUGAGGAGUCCCCAGUGCCUGUACACCUGCAUCACCCUGGUGUGCUGUUCUCUGCUGGUCAGGCAGUUCACUGUCUGCCUGCUGCUGCUCAUGACCCUCAACUCCCACCUGAAGCACCGCAUGGGGAGCAGGUACAAUUCACUGGUGACACGUUGGCGGUCCCUGUUUCUGGUCAUGCUGUGCGGGGGGCCUCUGUUCUCUCCGCAUCUGCCCAGUUCAUCGGCUGGAACAUCCUGGACACCUGGGGAGGGGAAGAGGGAUGGCUGGAUGGGCUGGGGCUGGACGGGCAUCCCCCCCAGGCAACUGGACCUCCCCUCCUCCCUGUCCGAUGGCUCCCAAGUACAACCUGGACCGCUCUGUGAUCGGGAAGUACCUCCCUUACGGCGGCUUCCUGUCCAAGUUCUACGUGGAGGAUCUCCAUAACUUCACCUAUGCAGAGAUCCAUGGGAGCCACUGGGGGGGUGUGUGCCCCCGACACUGUCCUCAGCCCCCAGUUCCUGGUCUAUGUCUAUGGGGUGACCGUCUUCCUGCUCCCCCUAAUGUGCCUGCUGGCCAUUUACCUAGAUCUGGUCUGUGUGAUGGCCAGACAGGACCCUGAUGGUCCGGGCUCUUUCCCCCCAAAAUGCAGCUCUCCCCGUGCCCACUCUCUGGGCCUCUCCCUCUGCCUCCUUGUCCUCCUGUGCCUGCCCCUUCACAUCACCCACUCCCUCCUGUUUUUCUCCCCAGGCACACUGCCCCCGACCUGGGCUUUCCCGCUGGUCUCUCUCCUGUCGCAGCUCUACGGUCUGGUCCCCCUCUCCUCUUCACCAUUCCCAUACAACGGGUGGGGGCCAAGCAGGCCCUCCUGCCUCUGCCCCACCUGACCCCCACAGGGGGUAAGACGGUGGGCAGAUCACGUUGUUACAACACCAGCAUUCCCAUCUCAUAUGUUCUAAUUCAAUCUCUUAGGCUCUGUUUACACACAUGUCUAAUAUGGUAAUACAUCGAAAUUGCUGAACAUCCAAUUUCCUUGGAGGUUUUUCCACAAACAUAAGUUCCAAUCAUUGUGUGUAAACAGCGCCAUGUAUCAUUGUGUGAUUCACAAGGAGCUUCUUUGUGUAUGUUUCCCCAUAUAUAUUCAUCAACCUGUCAGUAGCACAUACUAGACGUUAAUUAGUUUUUCACACACUGUGCUGUUUAAUUAUUGAGUCCCAUAUCAAAUAAGGUCACUAACCAGGCUUACAUCCAACCUUUUUAUGCUGUGUAAAGUACAUUUCAGAUAAAAAAGGUCAAGACAGGCCUGAUGGAAACAUCUAAUUUGUCAGUAGACGUUCCAAAUGUCAGCCAAACAAAAUACGCUAGACAAGCUGGGAUCUUUUUGUGUCGGUAAAAUUAAUUAUGUGAGAAAUAGCAGAGGAAACGCCUUUGCGCGCAAAUAUUUAUAUAAUAAUCAUCAUACUGAAGUAAUCUUGGAGUCACAAGAUGACAUGGUGUGUGGUCCUUCCACUACGACUCGGGAAACCAUGUAGUUUAUUAGGCUACAGAUUGAAUUAAUUAUGAUGAAAUUCACAGGGUUGUGAAAAUGCAAGGAGAUGAACUUGAUGCUCCUUUACAAUAAAUAUUGAGGUUCUCAUUCUGCCAUUUGACAAAUUAAAAUAAUCUUGCUCUUUUAUCCAUAAUAAUCUCAUCAACCACACUGUAUCUGCGAGCUGUUGUCUAGGGUGCAAUUGCCAAGACCAGAGUGAGCAUAUUUGCUAUAUAACGCAAACAUUUUUGUGACUAAACCCUCAGUAGAGUUGAAAAUGCGAUUAAAACUAAUUUAAAUUCAAUGUUUUAUUCAGUACUUGGGAAUUGAACUGCAAAAGUGUUGUAUGUGUACUACAUCAUCAUGCACAGUCUUUUAUCAGCAUCAAGUUAAUUUGUUGGAAACACAUUGCGCAUAUUGUUUUAAUGCGGAUUUUAGAAUAUUCACACGAAAAUCUGUCGCCAAUUGGAUGGAAACAUAGCUACCGAGAGAGAAAAUAUCACGCAACAGACUUCUCAUCUCACACUGAUCCAGAACUAAGCCUGUGACUAGAUCAGGAUAUGUCUGCAUUGUAACAUGCCUUCUGCUGCUGCUGCUGCUGGGGAUGCUAUAGAUCUGGCUUUGAUCAUGUUUAAUUAAACACACAGUAAUAACAGCAUGGUUGGUCCGGCGACACCCUCAUAAUUAUAGCAGAGAAAUGCUCUUCAUGGCUGUUUUGAUUUACUGAGUAAAUCUAACACUCUCCUUAAAUAAAAGGCCUUGCUCU